UACAGAGGGUGCAAGCGUUUAAUCGGAAUUACUGGGCGUAAAGCGUGCGCAGACGGUUGCGUAAGUCAGAUGUGAAAGCCCCGGGCUCAACCUGGGAAUUGCAUUUGAGACUGCGUAGCUAGGGUGCGGAAGAGGGAAGCGGAAUUUCCGGUGUAGCGGUGAAAUGCGUAGAUAUCGGAAGGAACACCAGUGGCGAAAAGCGGCUUCCUGGUCCAGCACCGACGUCAGGCACGAAAGCGUGGGGAGCAAACAGG
rnacentral:rRNA from 1 species